rnacentral:lncRNA from 1 species
AAAAGAAAAACAACCUCACAUCAAAAGAAAUUCACAACCUUGUGAACAUUAGAAACAAAAAACCUUCCAUAAUCCAUUGAACAUAGACAGGCUCAGGGUGAAAAUAAUAUAGUAAUAACCUAUUGUUUAAAAUAGGAAAAACAAACUUACCCAACAUUUGUUGGUCAAAAAAUACAUUCUGUACAUGUCAACUUGCAAAAUUGUGCCCAUGGAAAGAAAUAUAGUCCACCAGAUUAAUGAGCUUGAAAAUUAGUUUUAUGUUUGAACUCACAAUGCUUAUAUAGUAGAUAAUACUUGAAAUAGAGGUAUUUGGAUACGAUGGUGAAGUUGGAUUAGUCUCCUCAUUAACAUGGGUAAUUUCGACAUUUGACUUUGUCUUCUCCUCAUCCUUAUCAGUAGAAGUAGGAAUUUGAGAAACAACUUCUUUAGAUGCCUUCCUGGAAAUGAUGGCAACUUGUAUAUCUGCUUCAACUUCUUGGAACUGGCUUCCAAACAAGUCUACAAGCUCAUAAGGAAGAAUAAUAAGUAAGCAUUCUGUUGAUUACCAUUAGCAAAAUCGGAGAACUCUUGAAACUAUCGUUUAAUAUCCAUUCAAAACUUCUUGCUUCGAAUAUUAGUUUCUCAAAUAUUAAUUGUUCCAAUAUUUUUUUUGUUAUUAGCUAUUAGAUCUUGCCUAAUGGCAAAAAUUGAUGUCGUUUGAAACUCAUUUAUCGAAAUAAGAAAGAAUACAAACCAUUAUUUUUUUAGAAGAAAAGUAAAACUGAAAAGAGAAAUAAACCAAACUUCUCCAUUCUUCAACAUAAGUCUCAUUCUCCACCACCAUCACUGACACUGUCCUUUAAAACAAACAUUUAAAAAUCAAAAACUAAAUAGAAAAAAAACGAGGAAAUAUAAGAUCCUGAAAAAUCGGUGAACAAACCCAAUGCUACUCCUUUUAGGCUUGAUUCAAAAAGUCAAAAUUCAAUGACAGUAAAGCUUACACAAAUAUGUUUUAACUUUGAACCUUUUGAAGCUCUUUCCUUAUCGUUCUCUUCUAAGCCAGAAUCAAAAAUAACUUCUUACAAUUACUUUAUCCUUCAACAUAGAGAAUCUCCGACAAUAACUUACAAAAAAAAAAAAACAACAGAGUCCAAGAAAUCAAGAAAUUAGAAGAGGGAAGCAUUAAGACGUCAAAUAUAAAAAGAGAGGUCAGAUCGAAAGGAAAUAAAAAAAUCAAGAAAUUAAGAUGGACCAAAUCUAGAACCCGAUGUCGAUAAAUCCAAAAAAUUUCUUGAACAAACAAAUGUUCUUGCGUCGUUCAGGGUUAUUAUUAGGCUUCUUUUCAAACUAAGAAAAACGUAUACCUUGCAAUUCUCUUGGUAAGAAGAAGAGAGGAAUCAUGGGAAAAAGAGAUAGGGAGAGUGGAAGAAAAAUUACCUAGGUUUUAUCAGAGCAAGCAAUAGACAAAAGGACAGAGUUAAGAAGCCCUAUACAUAUCCGGUUCUUUAUCUUCUUCAUCAUAUCGUCGAAUCGACCACUUCUGGAAUACUUGCAAUCGGUAGAGUAAAACAGAGUUAUGGGAUAUGGGAUUCACAACAUGUGAGACUCUAAAGCAUUAACAGAAAACAAACAAAAUCAUCCUAAAAUAUAAACCUUUUAGUGCUCAAAUAGAAAACAAAAAGAGAUCUUACCCACAUUUGUGUGAGCCUCUAUUUAAGAAGCAAUAUCGAAAAAGGAAGGAUAAGAAAGAAAAUCAAGAUUUUUUUAGAAAAAACUAUCAUUCUUCAACCCGCCUAUCGUCCAUCUCACCUGCAACACAUCGAAACACCAAAUCAAAAUCAUUAAAAUGAAAGAAAAUCAAACUUUUUUUUUUCUAGAAAAAAAAAACUCAUUGUCUAC